GACGAACGCUGGCGGCGCGCUUAACACAUGCAAGUCGAGCGAUGAAAUUUCGACAGAUCCCUUCGGGGUGAAGAUGAAAUGGAUUAGCGGCGGACGGGUGAGUAACACGUGAGUAACCUGCCUUUGACAUUGGGAUAGCCUCGGGAAACUGGGAUUAAUACCAAAUGACACUAACUGAUCACAUGAUCAAUUAGUCAAAGAAAUUCGGUCAAAGAUGGACUCGCGGCUGAUUAGCUAGUUGGUGAGGUAACGGCCCACCAAGGCGACGAUCAGUAGCCGGCCUGAGAGGGUGAUCGGCCACAUUGGAACUGAGACACGGUCCAAACUCCUACGGGAGGCAGCAGUGGGGAAUAUUGCACAAUGGGGGAAACCCUGAUGCAGCGACGCCGCGUGAGCGAAGAAGGCCUUCGGGUCGUAAAGCUCUUUUAGGAGGGAAGAUAAUGACGGUACCUCAAGAAAAAGCCCCGGCUAACUACGUG
rnacentral:rRNA from 1 species